rnacentral:rRNA from 1 species
CCUACGGGAGGCACCAGUAGGGAAUCUUCGGCAAUGGACGAAAGUCUGACCGAGCAACGCCGCGUGAGUGAAGAAGGUUUUCGGAUCGUAAAACUCUGUUGUUAGAGAAGAACAAGUAGGAGAGUAACUGCUCUUACCUUGACGGUAUCUAACCAGAAAGCCACGGCUAACUACGUGCCAGCAGCCGCGGUAAUACGUAGGUGGCAAGCGUUGUCCGGAUUUAUUGGGCGUAAAGCGGGCGCAGGCGGUCUUUUAAGUCUGAUGUGAAAGCCCUCGGCUCAACCGAGGAAGGUCAUUGGAAUCUGGAGGACUUGAGUGCAGAAGAGGAGAGUGGAAUUCCAUGUGUAGCGGUGAAAUGCGUAGAUAUAUGGAGGAACACCAGUGGCGAAGGCGUCUCUCUGGUCUGUAACUGACGCUGAGGAGCGAAAGCGUGGGGAGCGAACAGGAUUAGAUACCCGCGUAGUC